rnacentral:snRNA from 1 species
AGAUGUGAGGGUAAUCUGGCUGUAACAUCUGUCACCCCACUGAUCAUCACCAGGAUUGAUUUGUCUCAUCUGGCAGGCUAGGCGGUGUCCCCUUCCUCUCUCACCACUCCAUGUGCAUCCCUUCCAAAUCCCAGAUAGAGGAGGACCAUUCUUCCAUCAAGGGCAUAGGAGUAGCUGCACUCCCCUGCUAGACCCUCUAAGCAAGCUUUCAAGAUGGGGAGCCAGCAGGUUAUAUCACAAAUAACCACACAGGAGAGAAGUUUCAACUAGGCCAAACAUUC